rnacentral:sRNA from 1 species
CUGGGGCCCGGGUGUGGUAUUUUUGGAGUUAAUGGAGUCAGAAGGACCUCCAGAGUCAGAGAGUUCAGAAUUUGUCUCACAGCAAGAAGAGGAAGAUGAAGAAGAAGAAGCCCAAGAACCAGAGGAAACAGGCCCCAAGAACCCCCUUUUACAACCUGCUCUCACAGGGGAUGUAGAGGGUUUGCAGAAGAUUUUUGAGGAUCCCGAGAAUCCUCAUCAUGAACAGGCCAUGCAGCUUCUCUUAGAAGAAGACAUUGUUGGGAGAAAUUUGUUGUAUGCAGCUUGCAUGGCUGGGCAAAGUGACGUGAUUAGAGCUUUGGCAAAAUACGGUGUGAAUCUGAAUGAAAAAACCACCAGAGGUAUUUUGUCUUUUUUCUCUCAUCAGUAUUACUUAUGACUACCUAAAGAUGCAAUGUAAUAUCUUUAAGGUUAGAUAUAUUUGAUAUGCCUGUUUUAUACUUUACAUAUAUGUGUAUAUACAUCUAUAUGGGUGUAUGUAUGUGUAUACAUGUAAAUGUGUCAAUGUUGAUAUUACAUAGUAUAGUAUUUUAGAACAUAGACUUCACUAUUUAUUAGCUGUGUGACUUGGCAAGUUACCUGAUCUUUUUGUGUAUCUGUUUUUCCAUCUGCAAAAUGGGGAUAAUAAUUAUAUUUUCCUUAUAGGGUAUAAUGAGGGUUAAAUAGGAUAAAAUAAAUAUUUUAGUGCUUGGCAUAUUGUAAAUUGAUAUAUAGUAAAUGUGUAAUAAUUUACUGUUAUCUCUUUCCUUUGAAGAUUUAUUAAUUUUUUAGCAAUCAUCAUCUAAGUAGCUUUUUAAAUUCAGUAAUUAUUUUUUCAGAUUGCAAAUAUAAUACAUGGUCAUGGGAGAAAAUUUAAAAACAUGAUCAUCAGCAUGAUCUUCAGCAAAGAAAGGAUAUACAUUCUCUUCAUGCUCACAUGGAACAUUUAAAAAAUAUUGAUCAUAUGUUGAGCCAUAAAGGAAGUCUUAACAACUAUCAAAGUAUCUAUAGCAUAUAGUCUUUGAUCAGUGACUACAACAAAAUAAAAUUAAAAAGUAGUAACAAAAAGGUAACUGAAAACUGAAAGCAAAAACACACUUCAUUUAUUUUUUAUUUUCAUUUUUAUUUUUUGAGACAGGGUCUCACUCUGUUGCCCAGGCUGGAGUGUAAUGGCAUGAUCUCAGCUCACUGCAACCUCUGCCUCCCAGGUUCAAGUGAUUCUCACACCUUAGCUUCCCAAGUAGCUGGGACUACAGGCAUGGGUCACCACGCCUGGCUAAUUUUUGUAUUUUUUGGUAGAGACGGGGUUUCACCAUGUUGGCCAGGCUGGUCUCGAUCUCCUGACCUCCAGUGAUCCACCUGUCUUGGCCUCCCAAAGUGCUGGGAUUACAGGUGUGAGCUACUGCAUCCAGCCAAGAACACACUUUAAAUCAUCUAUUGGUCACAGAAGAUAUAAUGAAAAUUAUGAAAUGUUUAAGUGACAACAGCAUCACUCUAUGUCUGAACCCAUGGGAUACAACUAAAAUUAAAAUUCUAGUAUAAUACAUAUAUUAGAAUAUAAGAAACAUAAAAAAUUUAGUAAACAAAGCAUUUGACUGACGAAAUUAGAAAAAGAACAACUGAGUAACCAAAGAAAGUAAAAGAAAAAUAAUUGAAUAAAUUAAUGACAUUGAAAAUAAAGAAAUAGGCCAGAGGCCAGGUGCAGAGGCUCACACCUAUAAUCUCAGCACUUUGGGAGGCCGAGGCAAGAGGAUUGCUUGAGGUCAGGAGUUCAAGAACAGCCUGGGUGACAAGAUGAGAUAAGACCCUGUUUCUGAAAAAAAAAAAAAA